AACGAACGCUGGCGGCAUGCCUAACACAUGCAAGUCGAACGGCACCUUCGGGACUAGUGGCUCACGCGUGCGUAGCGCGUGGGACCCUGGCGUUAGGCUCGGAAUUACACCUCGACGGGGGUGCUAAUACCGGGUAAUGUAUUCUGAUAACAGAUUCGACGCCUUUGGGUGGGCCCGCGUUGGUUUGGCCAGGUGGUAGGGUAAAAGCCUACCAAGGCGACGCUCCAUAGCUGGUCUGAGGGGAUGAUCAGCCACUCUGGGACUGUGACCCGGCCCGGACUCCUGCGGGAGGCAGCAGUGCGGAAUAUUGGACAAUGGGCGAGAUCAUGAACCAGCUAUGCCGCGUGAGUGAUGAAGGCCUUAGGGUUGUAAAGCUCGUUUACCCGGGAUGAUAAUGACGGUACCGGGAGAAUAAGCACCGGCUAACUCCGUG
rnacentral:rRNA from 1 species